AGUGAACGCUGGCGGUAGGCCUAACACAUGCAAGUCGAACGGCAGCACAGUAAGAGCUUGCUCUUACGGGUGGCGAGUGGCGGACGGGUGAGGAAUACAUCGGAAUCUACUUUUUCGUGGGGGAUAACGUGGGGAAACUUACGCUAAUACCGCAUACGACCUACGGGUGAAAGCAGGGGAUCUUCGGACCUUGCGCGAUUGAAUGAGCCGAUGUCGGAUUAGCUAGUUGGCGGGGUAAAGGCCCACCAAGGCGACGAUCCGUAGCUGGUCUGAGAGGAUGAUCAGCCACACUGGAACUGAGACACGGUCCAGACUCCUACGGGAGGCAGCAGUGGGGAAUAUUGGACAAUGGGCGCAAGCCUGAUCCAGCCAUACCGCGUGGGUGAAGAAGGCCUGCGGGUUGUAAAGCCCUUUUGUUGGGAAAGAAAAGCAGCAGGUUAAUACCCCGCUGUUCUGACGGUACCCAAAGAAUAAGCACCGGCUAACUUCGU
rnacentral:rRNA from 1 species